rnacentral:tRNA from 1 species
GUAUCCGUAGCUCAGUAGGAUAGAGCAAUCGCCUCCUAAGCGGUAGGUCACGAGUUCGAUUCUCGUCGGGUACACCA